rnacentral:rRNA from 1 species
GACGAACGCUGGCGGCGUGCUUAACACAUGCAAGUCGAACGGAAAGGCCCUGCUUUUGUGGGGUGCUCGAGUGGCGAACGGGUGAGUAACACGUGAGUAACCUGCCCUUGACUUUGGGAUAACUUCAGGAAACUGGGGCUAAUACCGGAUAGGAGCUCCUGCUGCAUGGUGGGGGUUGGAAAGUUUCGGCGGUUGGGGAUGGACUCGCGGCUUAUCAGCUUGUUGGUGGGGUAGUGGCUUACCAAGGCUUUGACGGGUAGCCGGCCUGAGAGGGUGACCGGCCACAGUGGGACUGGGGUACGGCCCAGACUCCUACGGGAGGCAGCAGUGGGGAAUAUUGCACAAUGGGCGGAAGCCGGAUGCAGCAACGCCGCGUGCGGGAUGACGGCCUUCGGGUUGUAAACCGCUUUCGCCUGUGACGAAGCGUGAGUGACGGUAAUGGGUAAAGAAGCACCGGCUAACUACGUG